rnacentral:rRNA from 1 species
GGCCGCGGGAAUUCGAUUCAGGCCUAACACAUGCAAGUCGAGCGGGGAAAGGUAGCUUGCUACUUGACCUAGCGGCGGACGGGUGAGUAAUGCUUAGGAAUCUGCCUAUUAGUGGGGGACAACAUCUCGAAAGGGAUGCUAAUACCGCAUACGUCCUACGGGAGAAAGCAGGGGACCUUCGGGCCUUGCGCUAAUAGAUGAGCCUAAGUCGGAUUAGCUAGUUGGUGGGGUAAAGGCCUACCAAGGCGACGAUCUGUAGCGGGUCUGAGAGGAUGAUCCGCCACACUGGGACUGAGACACGGCCCAGACUCCUACGGGAGGCAGCAGUGGGGAAUAUUGGACAAUGGGGGGAACCCUGAUCCAGCAAGGCCGCGUGUGUGAAGAAGGCCUUUUGGUUGUAAAGCAAAAAGAGCGAGGAGGAGGCUACCGAGAUUAAUACUCUUGGAUAGUGGACGUACUCGCA